rnacentral:lncRNA from 1 species
UCUGACAAGGUCUGAGUGGCUGAGCUGGUCCCUUUGCACUGCAGCUGAUUAGACUGAUGAGGCACAGGUGGUGCAGCCAGGGAGUGGAAAAGGCUCCAAUUCCACCCUAAAGGGGCGGAGAGCUUCUGCACUUCCAACACAGAGGAUCAAAACACAGAUAGACCAGUCGCAGACAGUAAUGGAUGGAUGAAUGAAUAUGAAGCCAGUGCAGAAGUGCCAAAAGCAGCAUUUCAACAUGAAAUGAUGAUUUGACGCUGCCCCUAAAAAGUCCAACUCCAGGGAAGAACUUAACAUGUUUACUUGAGGCAGACAUCUAUAGCUGGUUUGGCCCUUCACAACAAAUGUACAGUGGGUCUCAUUCGUGCAACCUGCAUCCUUCCCACCUCCAGCUCAUUCUGGCCAGUUAGAGAUCCUCAUCCAAGUCUCCACCUGCCUCAUUUCUUCCGCUACAACCAGUGUCGAGAUUCCGGGGGGUCCUGACCUACUUCUACCACUUUGGACUCCACUCUGCUGUGUAACUUGGUGUAAUCACCAAACAACUUUUUACUCAAACUCUGUUCUUCUAUAAAUCAUGUUCAAUUCUUUCGAAUGAUCUGUCCUUAUUGAACUGAUUCUGGGGACAUUUGGGGACAGGAGAACAACCUUUGAACACAACAAUAUUUAUAAUUUGAUACAGAGGUCUCGUGAGCAUGAAGUAAUAGUUCUCAUUUAGUUCCGGUUUUGGUUGCCACCAGGUGCCGAGGGAAAUACCUAGCCACUUAGCUGCUGAAUGCACCGCUAUAUUCACCUGCCAGUUCCUAAUCGUGUUUGCUGGACAUUUGAUAGUGGGCAGAUAAGGGCCAGUUGUUUUUAGAGCUUUUUAACUACAGUUGAGUGCACCAUCUGAAAUUUAUAUCACAGCAGUGAGAGUGUACCAAAACAGCAAAGUCAAAGGGACAUAGAGAAUUGGGUAUAUUGAAUAUAACUGCAGUCUGGUAAUAUAUCCGUGUCUUUGUUAGUACAAAUGUCUAAUGAAUCAAGCUUCUUUAAUGCA